rnacentral:rRNA from 1 species
ACAAGUACCGUGAGGGAAAGUUGAAAAGCACUUUGAAAAGAGAGUGCAAGAGAACGUGAAACCGACAUAAUGGAAGCGGAUGGAGCCGACGUAUCGUGCUUGUAUUCAAUUGCACAGUGCUGCAAUCGACUGGUUCGGGCAUUCCGCAAGGUUGUCCACUGGUUGUUGUUGUUGUAUUCGUGUAAUGCUUUUGCAAGCGGAGUGCAUCGAGUGGGUUGAUUGCGCUGUUGGAAGCUGGUUUAGAGGACUUUCCCCUCGUGGGUUAGAACCCUGGGCUGGUGGAUGACAGAUGUGGUUGGCUUGCGUUUUGGUUGUUGGCUGGUGAUUUCGUGGUAUGGGUUGAGGUUGUGGGCUGCUAGUAGUCAACACAUGUGUUGUUUGCUUUCAGCUUGCAUCUUUGAUUCCUACUGCCCGUGCCUUCGACUCGAUGUUCAGUUGGUCACCCAUCCGACCCGUCUUGAAACACGGACCAAGGAGUUUACGGUGUACGCAAGUCAUUGGGCCUAGGAAACCCAAAGGCGUAAUGAAAGUGAGACAUUUGAUGUCUGUGAUGUGAACGAUUGUUGUUUCGAUGGCUUUUGUGCAACAUCGCCCCAUGACUAGGGCUUGCUCUGUUGUGGAGGUCGAGCGUACGCUGUGAGACCCGAAAGAUGGUGAACUAUGCCCGAACAG